ACGAACAUUUCUAAAGGUCCUAACUAACAUUUUUACUCAAAUUGAGUUAUCACUAUUUUCCAAAUCCUCAGCAUAAAAUUUAACGAUUUUCAUUUAAAAGUUAACUUUUUUUUAUUUAUUAACCUUAAAAUUCGAAAAGAACAAAACGACCCAACUGCAUUAUCGAUAAUAUCGGCCAGCUCUGUUGAUGGGACAUCUUGCUCGCCAAAGGUCCCAUCUGUCAUUUUCGAUUUUUGUUUACAAAAUUGCACAUGGGACCUUUGGCAUGCAAGCGAGCUCUCACAGUAAUUUUGAGUUAAAUUAAUAAAAAUGGAUCCUACUCAAGACCAAUUCCGGAUGUUCAUACAAGCAGCAUCACGUCGAAGCCAAAGAUCCGCUGGCAGCAGUCACUAUGGUAGUCAACCUGCACCUCCGCAGUAAGAUGAUUCGUGCGAUGAAAAAUUCAAGCUACGGGAGAGUUGCAAAUGCCGAACCUGCACCUUCAAAAGAGGAUAAUUCAGUUUUCAAGCUCUCUAAGAGGAAAAGCGCUGAGUCGCCACGGAGCUGGAAGGAGCGCACUGGAACUUUUCAAAAUGUUUCAGGUCAGGAUGUGUCAUCAGUGUCUACCAAAUCAGCACGGCGCUCGUUGAAUUUCGAUAGUUUGCGUCCAAAUUAACUGCAGGACAGGUCAACAAUCCUUCAAAAACAGCAGCAUUCAUCGUGUUCCGUUUCAU